rnacentral:rRNA from 1 species
UACGGAGGGGGCGAGCGUUAUUCGGAAUUAUUGGGCGUAAAGGGCGCGUAGGCGGCUUGGCAAGUCAAAGGUGAAAUCCCUCGGCUCAACUGAGGAACUGCCUUUGAAACUGCCUGGCUUGAGGCCGGGAGGGGGUAGCGGAAUUCCCAGCGUAGCGGUGAAAUGCGUAGAUAUUGGGAGGAACACCAGUGGCGAAGGCGGCUACCUGGACCGGUUCUGACGCUGAUGCGCGAAAGCGUGGGUAGCAAACAGG